AACGAACGUUAGCGGCGCGCUUAACACAUGCAAGUCGAACGAGAAAGGGCUUCGGCCCCGGUAAAGUGGCGCACGGGUGAGUAACACGUGGGUAACCUUCCCUUGAGCGGGGGAUAACAUUCCGAAAGGAGUGCUAAUACCGCAUAAGACCACGGCUCCGAAAGGAGCUGAGGUUAAAGCAGGCCUCUGUACACAAGCUUGCACUCAAGGAUGGGCCCGCGGCCCAUCAGCUAGUUGGUAGGGUAAUGGCCUACCAAGGCAACGACGGGUAGCUGGUCUGAGAGGAUGAUCAGCCACACUGGAACUGAGACACGGUCCAGACUCCUACGGGAGGCAGCAGUGGGGAAUCUUGCGCAAUGGGCGAAAGCCUGACGCAGCGACGCCGCGUGAGUGAUGAAGGCCUU
rnacentral:rRNA from 1 species